AUUGAACGCUGGCGGCAUGCUUUACACAUGCAAGUCGAACGGCAGCGCGGGGCAACCUGGCGGCGAGUGGCGAACGGGUGAGUAAUAUAUCGGAACGCACCCAGAAGAGGGGGAUAACGUAGCGAAAGUUACGCUAAUACCGCAUACGAUCUACGGAUGAAAGUGGGGGACCUUCGGGCCUCAUGCUUUUGGAGCGGCUGAUAUCUGAUUAGCUAGUUGGUGAGGUAAAGGCUCACCAAGGCGACGAUCAGUAGCUGGUCGGAGAGGACGAACAGCCAAACUGGGACUGAGACAAGGCCCAGACUCCUACGGGAGGCAGCAGUGGGGAAUUUUGGACAAUGGGCGCAAGCCUGAUCCAGCAAUGCCGCGUGAGUGAAGAAGGCCUUCGGGUUGUAAAGCUCUUUUGUCAGGGAAGAAACGGCCGGGGAUAAUUCCUUCGGCUAAUGACGGUACCUGAAGAAUAAGCACCGGCUAACUACGUGCCAGCCGCCGCCGUAA
rnacentral:rRNA from 1 species